CCUGGGUCUACCUCCAGUACUGCACGUACUGGACGUACUGCGAGUACUACUCGUACUGGGACUCCUGUGCAUUUCUGACUUGGAUCUCUGAUUGGUCCUUUUCCGGCUUUUUCUUUGAGUUGCGGACCUAAAAAGUUACCUAUGAGUUUAAAAUACCUGCAAAGCCCAGUUGGACAUGUUUCACCUAAGGCACAAUUUCCUUCACAAAUACUCCUGGACUGUAACAGUUCCUCGUAGUUGUUGAGCAUUAGGGCGCACUGCUCCUGAUCCUUAUAAAUCAGGGCCAAACUAGGGUUAUAUGGGUGUAUUACAUCAAUAAGACGGGUACACUCGAACUCCUCGAGUUGUUUUAGGAACCCCAAGUUGGGAUUGGCCACAUUUCUGCCCGCUCUCACCACUUUAAGGGCGUCUUUCCAGUUUAGGGUUGUCACUGACAUAAUAUAAGCCACAGCCACGGUUACACUUCGGGACAUACCAGCAAGACUAUUAAGAAAUAAUGUGAUAAGUAUUCUAUUAUAUUGUAAAAACUGGUAUUUUAUAGAUUAUUAGGUAAUUUACCAGUGAAUAAGGACGUUUCCAUCACGGAGUCGGGCGGCAUGGAUAAAGUCGUUACACAGCGAGAAGUACUGGGUUAGAUUUUGGUCGGGAGUGUCGGAGGCCAUCACGCACAGACCAUGAUUAUAAAGAACUGACCACUUUUGAUCACAUAGAGCAGCAGCCAACAACAGAAUAUGCUGAUAGGUUGAAAGUUAAAAACUGCACCCAAGUCUUUAAUAAUACUAAAUCUAGAUGGACAAUAUAGCAUAAGUGGGAUAUUGGAGACCAAAAUCAAUUACCUAGUGGAGCUCAAUACGCAGCAACUUUUAUCUUGUUUCUCUAUACACUUUUUGACAGCUUUUAUGUCAAAACUUACCCUAAAGCUGACACCAAACCUGAGAUAACAGCAAUUUUACCAGUUUCAAUGCAUGAGCAAUUUUGCAUUCUAUACAAAUCUUGGAGUCUAUGAAGCUUUCAAAGACAAAUGGAAAAAUGGUAUCUUAAGUAACUUUUUGCAAACUCUUUAUACAAGUUCCUAAUUAAAUAAACUUGUAAGUUUAUA